GAACCGGAAGCCGGGUUACGGUG
rnacentral:snRNA from 1 species